rnacentral:sRNA from 1 species
GAUAUAAAUUUUUUGGUGGAGCGGCUUACGUGUGAAGCUCCACA